rnacentral:rRNA from 1 species
AUUGAACGCUGGCGGCAUGCCUUACACAUGCAAGUCGAACGGCAGCACAGGAGCAAUCCUGGUGGCGAGUGGCGAACGGGUGAGUAAAGUAUCGGAACGUGCCCAGUCGUGGGGGAUAACGUAGCGAAAGUUACGCUAAUACCGCAUACGAUCUAUGGAUGAAAGCGGGGGAUCGCAAGACCUCGCGCGAUUGGAGCGGCCGAUAUCAGAUUAGGUAGUUGGGGGGGUAAAGGCUCACCAAGCCGACGAUCUGUAGCUGGUCUGAGAGGACGACCAGCCACACUGGGACUGAGACACGGCCCAGACUCAUACGGGAGGCAGCAGUGGGGAAUUUUGGACAAGGGGCGAAAGCCUGAUCCAGCCAUGCCGCGUGCAGGAUGAAGGCCUUCGGGUUGUAAACUGCUUUUGUACGGAACGAAAAGGUUUGGCCUAAUAAGCUGAGCUCAUGACGGUACCGUAAGAAUAAGCACCGGCUAACUACGUGCCAGCAGCCGCCGUAA